AUAAUGAUAAAGGCCAUGAUUCUGAGAAAUUAUGAAUUGGAGUGAUUUUCAUUAAUCAGACAUUAUUCUAUUUAUUUAUUUAUUUUGAGAUGGAGUCUCACUCUCGCGCCCAGGCUGGAGCGCAGUGGCGCGAUCUUGGCUCAGUGCAACCUCCGCCUCCCGGGUUCAAGCGAUUCUCCUGCCUCAGCCUCCCAAGUAGCUGGGAUUACCAGGCACCCACCUUCAGGAUCAUGUCCUCCACCACGGACGCAUACACGUUCCUGUGGAGUGCCACGGGCUGCAGGGUGAUCCCAAUCUGGAAAAGCAGAAGAAAGCCGUUUGUUCGUAUCGCUGCUUUAGAAACAGCCUCUCUCCAAACAAGCAUACCUCCCUGACAUGCAAAGCGAUGCCUGGUUGGAAGGAGGACUCUGCAAACAUAUUGGGCAAAAUUCACGGGAAAGGAACACGGAAUAUAACAUCUAGAAGAAUGUUAUCUUGUUUUUCCACAUUUCUGGCUGAUAUUUAAAAUAUGACUAUAAUCCUAUUAAAAUCUCUCAAAUCUCCUUCGUGGGAGAACAUGGU
rnacentral:lncRNA from 1 species